CAAAACUUGAAGACGCUGCUGGAAGAUGGAGCCGGGAGCACUUUGCAGCCUGUCGCCGCGGCAACAGAGCAACCCCAAGGAGCCGUUGGACUGAAAGCGAGCUGUUCCGGUCCGUCCAAGGACACGUUGGCGUGGUUCAACCUGUUUGCAGACUUGGACCCCCUGGCCAACCCGGAUGCGGUCGGCAAUAGCCACACCGAGCAACAACUUUACAAUGCUUAGUUAGCUACAGUAGCUAGCCAUCCACACGAGCCUGCGAGCUUCCAACCAAGCAAACAUUCAAGGGAUUUCAUCUGCACUUCCUGUUAAUGGUGAAAAAUGCAAACAGAAUGUGACCAAAAUGAGCUUCAGACCAGAUCUUAACGCGCACAUUAUUUUAGCUAAGCCAAAGACGACGACGGACUCAAAUAUAAACUCUGGCGUGUCGGAAAUAAAACAUAUCAUGACAAUACA